rnacentral:misc_RNA from 1 species
UUAAUGAUCCUGCCAGCUUGAAAGGUGACUCAUCUAGCACCCCGCAAUAAAAUUCCAUCUCUCAUUGGCAUCUCUUGGUUCUUAGUUUCUAUGGUAGCUAUAUUUCUUAAUGAUCAGGGGUAUGAAAUUAUAUUUUAUCCUUGAACACUAGGAUAUAUCUUGUUAAGGUGCAUUUUGUUAAUAAUAUAACCAUGGUGAUACUAAUAAAAUCUGCUAAU